CUGAAGCCUGAAACCAUUCCUGGUAUGUUACCUGAUCAUUUGCAACAAGAUGUCAAAUAGACUACAGAGGCUUUACUGACUAGAGGUGAGGUUAGGUUCCUGUUGCUUAAGGAAAAGGCAAACGGAAAGAACUUCAGGGGCACGCUUAACACUUUGGUGGAAGCUGGAUUUUAGAAAAAUCAAUAUAGUAAACUAUCGACAAAGUUGAAAGAGUGUGUGGAUUGGGCACAACUAGUGAAAAGCUUACCCGGCAGGCAGGGAAACCCUCGAGGGUGGAGAGUAGAGAGGAAAAUUUUAAAUAUCCACCAGAGCCUAGUGAUCUAUUAACAUGCGUCCUCCUCCCCAGGUCCUGCUCUUGCCCCCAGAGCAACUAGCCGCAGGAAAGCAAGCACUUAAACCUCUCCCUCGGACUUGAGAAGGCUUGAGUUAACUAGCGCUGUAAAUAAUGUUUCUUCCUAAACUGAAGGCACAUCUGACUCCCUAGCCAAGGCCCAGGAGAAAGCAAGAAGCCGAGUUCAGUUUCUUCCGAAGUGAGCCACUCUGCCCCUCUACUCCAUCCUCUUGAAUAAGGAAACAGCCGCCAAGCAUCAGCCGAGCCCCGAUGAGCCGGGGCCGCGGAACCGCUUAGCAGUCUCCCGGGACCCAGCUCUGGAGGAGCCGCAAGCAUGCACCCUGGGUUGUGGCUGCUUCUGGUUACUUUGUGCCUGACCGAGGAACUGGCAGGAGCGGGAGAGAAGAAGCCCUAUGGGAAGCCAUGUGGGGGCCAAGACUGCAGUGGGGGCUGUAAGUGCUCUCCUGAGAAAGGAGCCAGAGUAAGUUGCUGCUUUCAUUGUUGAAAGACAAAUAGUCACAGGAGCCGAUUUCUGAAGUGUGUAUGUUUUCUUUAGAAUUAAACUGCUUAGACUUUACUCUUGUGACCUCACGG